AAUACAAGCAGACACUCUAGGC
rnacentral:misc_RNA from 1 species